rnacentral:snRNA from 1 species
AUCCUUACCUGGCAGGGAGAUACCAUGACCCUGAAGGUGCUUUCCCAGGGAGAGGCUUAUCCGUUGCACUCUGGGUGUGCUGCCCCCUGCAACUUCCUAAGUGUGGGAAACUUAGCAUGGGAAACUCUGUGGGAAACCUGGCUGCAUAAUUUGUGGUCGUGGGGAUUUCACACCAUGCCCGGC